rnacentral:rRNA from 1 species
CAGAGGGUGCAAGCGUUGCUCGGAUUUAUUGGGUUUAAAGGGUGCGUAGGUGGUCUUGUAAGUCAGUGGUGAAAUACGGCAGCUCAACUGUCGAGGUGCCAUUGAUACUGCAAGACUUGAGUACAGACGAGGUAGGCGGAAUUGACGGUGUAGCGGUGAAAUGCUUAGAUAUCGUCAAGAACACCGAUAGCGAAGGCAGCUUACUAGACUGUAACUGACACUGAGGCACGAAAGUGUGGGGAUCAAACAGGAUUAGAUACCCUGGUAGUCCACACUGUAAACGAUGAUUACUCGAUGUUGGCGAUACACAGCCAGCGUCUUAGCGAAAGCGAUAAGUAAUCCACCUGGGGAGUACGCCCGCAAGGGUG